GGCUUGAUGGUGUAGUGAUAGCACGCGCCUCCCGUACGGAUGAGAUGCGGGUUCAACUCCCGUUUGAGGUCG